GUCCGCACAGUAAACGAUGUACACUAGGUGUCUGGCCAGAAGGUUGGGUGCCAAAGCAAACGUGAUAAGUGUACCGCCUGGGGAAGUAUGCCCGCAAGGGUGAAACUCAAAAGGAAUUGACGGGGGCCCGCACAAGCGGUGGAGCAUGUGGUUUAAUUCGAUGAUACGCGAGAAACCUUACCUGGGCUUGACAUAUACUGGAGGUAGCUGGAGACAGUUACGCGUAGCAAUACGCCGGUAUACAGGUGCUGCAUGGCUGUCGU
rnacentral:rRNA from 1 species